CACAGCUUGAGAGAGUGGGCAAUUAUACAGAAGGGCAAGAACCUUUGAAAGGGCUUUCCCCACAGUGAUCCUGUAAAAUUGUAAUCUCACCUCAUACCAUAAGAAACAAGGGUUUUUUAAGUUUAAGGAUUGACUGGAAUUCUUGACAUCCUUAUUUAAAAAAAAAAUACAAUUUAUCUUCUUGUGAGUAAGGAAACAGUUGUGGGGUUUUUUGGGGGGUAUUUUUAAUUCUUUGUCAAUAAAUGGGAGGAUUGACCUCAAGAUAUAUGAUUUCAUGCUUUUCCUGAGAGACAACCUGUGUGGACCUGAAUUUUGCUUCAAAAUAAGAUCUGUAUUAAUGUGGCAGCUGUCAGGCAAGAGUUCCCAGAGUUCUUCAGACAAAUUACACCGAUUCCCUGCACAACGCAGGAAAACACCCCCUGCAUCCCCAUCACUUGGCUUCGCCUCGAGCCUGAAAAACACUUAUCACUCCUUUCCGUAUUCAUCAAAAGCAGAAAUUGGACACCGGAACCUCCAUCCUGACGAGAUUUGCUGAAAGCCAACCUCGAAAUGAUGAGGCACAACCAUAAAGUACCAGUACCCAAGCCACGUUUUCAAUUACAGGACAACAUCUGCUGAGGAAAAAGGACAUGGCUCAAAAAAAAAAAAAAAAUAAGGUCUUUUAAUUUCAUGAAAGCUAUUGUGUCGCUGCGCGCUUGGCAAACAAAAUACACAAGUUGGGACUUCUCCACAAGAAAUGGAGCCAGAUUUGCCGAGAGGGCAAGCUCCGGGGAAGCUGGAGCAACACACAGAUUUCUCAGGAGGUUUGGUAGACCCAGUAACCAUUAUUUUAAAUUUAAUGGUAUUAAUUAAAUACACAGCGUAUCUUGUUUCAGUAUAGAGACAUUAAAAGUACAAAAUGAAACGUUUAAUUGUUCAAAUUCCAGGAAGUCCCUAUAUACAUAUAUAUGCACAUUUUAAAUUUAGAAUAAUUUUAAAACAGACAAGAAACACGUGCCAUUCGUACACAUUUCUAUGUAUUUGUAAUCCUUUAAUCACUAUCAAGCUUAACCACCUUAAGAGGAACUUUAAUUUUCACUGUAAACCUGCCCUGGCCCUUCUAUAAAUACCUGAAUUGCUGAAUCUAAGACUGGUUUAUUUUCAAUCUGUGAUUAAAGCUAUUGUCUUAUAUAGGCACUACAAAUUCACUGCGGCAGACUAGAAACUGAGCAGUUAUAUAAAAAACUUAACUUGUAAGUUACACAUUUGAAUGUGUGCUGGACUCACAGCCAAGACCCCUACUGACAAGUGCAGCAAAAGAAAAAAAGCCCAAAAGCCAAGCUCUCUCACUCACACACGGCACAUUUAUCCCCUCUCUGUCUUAGUUAUUGAUCCUCUUCUCAAAUACUGUUUUUGACUCAUUCCCCUAAUUCUUAACCGAGCCUUCCCAGUCAAAAGAGGGACAAGAAACACGUGCCAUUCGUACACAUUUCUAUGUAUUUGUAAUCCUUUAAUCACUAUCAAGCUUAACCACCUUAAGAGGAACUUUAAUUUUCACUGUAAACCUGCCCUGGCCCUUCUAUAAAUACCUGAAUUGCUGAAUCUAAGACUGGUUUAUUUUCAAUCUGUGAUUAAAGCUAUUGUCUUAUAUAGGCACUACAAAUUCACUGCGGCAGACUAGAAACUGAGCAGUUAUAUAAAAAACUUAACUUGUAAGUUACACAUUUGAAUGUGUGCUGGACUCACAGCCAAGACCCCUACUGACAAGUGCAGCAAAAGAAAAAAAGCCCAAAAGCCAAGCUCUCUCACUCACACACGGCACAUUUAUCCCCUCUCUGUCUUAGUUAUUGAUCCUCUUCUCAAAUACUGUUUUUGACUCAUUCCCCUAAUUCUUAACCGAGCCUUCCCAGUCAAAAGAGGCAACAGGCACUCCAGAAAGCAGAUCUAAACCCAAGCCCUCAAAACAGAAAGAAGUCUUACCCAGAAGAAUAAAAGCCACGGUCCUCUACA
rnacentral:lncRNA from 1 species